rnacentral:lncRNA from 1 species
CAUCUUUGAUCAUAGAUACUACUUCGGGAAUUUUCAGAGGAAGCUAUUUGAAAGGCAGAAGGGAGACAGCCAAAAAGCAAGAUCCAAACCAGUGAGGAGGCAGAACAGAAUGAACAGACUACGCAGACCCAGUACAAGCCCCCAGAGGGACUUGAUUUACUUCGAAUUCUAAGAACAUCAGCCAAAAGUUAAACAGGAGGCUGCAGUCUG